UUGAAAUUACAGAAGAACGUUUUACUAUAACCUUUUUAAAUAUAUAAAAAAAAGCAAAUAAAGUAAUUCUAAUAAACAAUAUUAUGCCUACGAGCACACUAGACGAAAACAGCAGUUUCUGUCCGACCACUGUAUUUGAGGUCGAAGGGUUUUACGUUAGUUCGGUACUACAGAGCUUCUUUUCCUAUUAAUUUCCUAUCUCAUAGUGACAACUAUAAUUUUCACUGUACUUUGUGGAUUUGAAGGUUCAUUGUCAUCAAUAUUUGUCAAAUCACGUUUAUAGCCAACACAACACCAUUAGUAUCAAAAGUGGGAUUUUGCAAAGCGAACAAAAAGAGCAAGAUUUACAAUUUUCAAAAAAAAAGUGAGAAACUCGCAUUUUUGGCUAGAGUUUAUUAGUGGCCUAGUAUAUUCACGCGUCUGUAAUGUUUCAAAUGGAUAAUAAUUCAUCUAUAAACCAAAAUCAAAUCAAAACGUAAAGCAACUCCAACACAAAUAUUAGCAUAUUCUCUAAAUUGAU